GCUUGUCUCAAAGAUUAAGCCAUGCAUGUUCAAGUAUAGCAAGUGUACAGUGAAACUGCGAAUGGCUCAUUAAAUCAGUUAUAAUUUAUUUGAUAGUGAAAUUGUACAUGGAUAACCGUGGCAAUUCUAGGGCUAAUACAUGCGUCAAUGGUCGGUCGACCAGUAUUUAUUAGAUACAAAGCCAGCCGUCAGGAUCAGGUGAAUCAUGAUAACCAAACGAAUCGCAAGCGCAAGCGGCGAUGGUUCAUUCAAAUUUCUGCCCUAUCAGCUUUCGACGGUAGUGUAGUGGACUACCGUGGCGCUAACGGGUGACGGAGAAUUAGGGUUCGGUUCCGGAGAGGGAGCCUGAGAAACGGCUACCACAUCCAAGGAAGGCAGCAGG
rnacentral:rRNA from 1 species